rnacentral:piRNA from 1 species
UAAAGAUGUUGAGGAAGGCUAGCUCCAAGG